GACUCAUAGACAGACAGACAUAGAGAACAGGCUGACCUGCCAAGAGGGUGAGGGUGGGGGAGGAAUGGACUGGAGUCUGGGAUUAGCAGAUGCAAGCUAUUAUGUAUAGGCUGGAUAAACAAGGUCCCUGUGUGUAGCACAGGGAAGUUUAUUCAAUAUCUUGUGAUAAACCAUAAUGGAAAAGAAUAUGAAAAAGAAUAUACACACACACACACACAUAUAUAUAAAGCUGGAUCACUCUGUACAGCAGCAGUUAAU